rnacentral:rRNA from 1 species
GAUGAACGCUGACAGAAUGCUUAACACAUGCAAGUCAACUUGAACUUCGGUUUGGGUGGCGGACGGGUGAGUAACGCGUAAAGAACUUGCCUCACAGAUAGGGACAACAUUUGGAAACGAAUGCUAAUACCUGAUAUUAUGAUUAUAUGGCAUCGUAUAAUUAUGAAAGCUAUAUGCGCUGUGAGAGAGCUUUGCGUCCCAUUAGCUAGUUGGAGAGGUAACGGCUCACCAAGGCGAUGAUGGGUAGCCGGCCUGAGAGGGUGAUCGGCCACAAGGGGACUGAGACACGGCCCUUACGCCUACGGGAGGCAGCAGUGGGGAAUAUUGGACAAUGGACCAAGAGUCUGAUCCAGCAAUUCUGUGUGCACGAUGAAGUUUUUCGGAAGGUAAAGUGCUUUCAGUUGGGAAGAAAAAAAUGACGGUACCAACAGAAGAAGUGACGGCUAAAUACGUG